rnacentral:rRNA from 1 species
AAUAAGAAAUCAAGGGCGUAUGGUGGAUGCCUUGGCUUCAAAUGGCGAAGAAGGACGUGGCGUGGCUGCGAUAAGCUCCGGGAAGAUGCCUAGCAAUCAAUAUAUCCGGAGAUCUCCGAAUGGGGAAACCCCAUCGAGCGAACCUCGAUGACCCGAUUUUGUCGGGAGCUAACCCAGGGAACUGAAACAUCUAAGUACCUGGAGGAAAAGAAACUAAUAAGUAUUGCGUGAGUAGCGGCGAGCGAAAGCGCAGGAGCCCAAACCUGUCCGCACUACAUUGCAUUUCGUGCGAACACUGAUCAACACAGAAAAAACAACAGAUAAACACGGAUACGACAUCCGCGUUCAUCUGUAAAAUAUCCGUGUUCAUUGGUGUUCCGCACGGAGCGUAGUGUAGUGCGGAUGGGGGUUGUAAGACAAAAACUUCGUAUUUAUACGAGAGAAGUUACAAAAUGUCAUGUUAACUGAAGACUCUGGAAAGAGUCACCCUAGAGGGUAAUAGUCCCGUAAGUGAAAAUCUGACAUCUUCUUUGUUUUUGUUCUUGAGUACCUCAAGACACGAAUAGCUUGGGGGAAUCUGCCGGAACUAACCGGUAAGGCUAAAUACAUUUGAAGACCGAUAGUGAACUAGUACCGUGAGGGAAAGGUGAAAAGAAGCCCGGUGAGGGCAGUGAAAUAGACCUGAAACCAUAUGCCUACAAGGAGUCGGAGCGGGUGCAUCACAUUGCAUGUGAUGUGCAGAAUUUUCAAUUANNNNNNNNNNNAUUCUUAAAUUUAAAAUUAGGACAUUGAGAUUUAUUUGAAAAUUGAGAAUUCGUAAAUUGAAAAUUUGUCUGCAUCGCGCGUAGCGUGAUGCAUCCGUCACGGCGUGCCUAUUGAAGAAUGAGCCAACGAGUUCUAUUAUUCGGCUUGCCUAAGUCCCUUAAAAAAGGAUGGAGGCGUAGGGAAACCGAGUGUUAAUAGCGCGUAUGUCUGCCUUUUGGUAGACCGUCGUAUAAUAGAGACCCGAAACCAGAUGAGCUUGCCAUGAGCAGGGCGAAGGUCGAUGAAAAUCGACUGGAGGCCCGAACCGUUUAGCCGUUCAACACUAUCGGAUGACUUGUGGUAAGGAGUGAAAAGCUAAUCGAAUCUGGUAAUAGCUGGUUCUCUCCGAAAUAGCUUUAGGGUUAGCGUUACGUGUUCCUUUGGGGGGUAGAGCACUGGAAGGACUAGACAGGGCGAAAGCUCGCUAUUCCUAUCAAACUCCGAAUACCCAAAGUUAAAAGCGUAGCAGUUAGACGGUGGGGGCUAAGCUCCACUCGUCAAAAGGGGAAUAGCCCAGAUCUCAAGUUAAGGUCCCUAAAUUUACGCUAAGUGCAUCACAAGGUGGUGAAUUUUCUUAGACAGCAAGGAUGUCGGCUUAGAAGCAGCCAUCAUUUAAAGAUAGCGUAACAGCUCACUUGCUAAGAGAAUUUGCGCCGAAGAUAAUCGGGGCUAAGCGUAGUACCGAAACUGAGGGCUUUGGCCUCACUACAGUGGAUUUCGUGCUGGCACGGAGUACAGUGUAGUGUGGCUGGAGCGGUAGGAGAGUAUUCCACUCUGCGAUGAAGGCAAAGGGGUAACCCAUGCUGGAGCGUGUGGAAGUAAGAAUGUUGGCACAAGUAACCGCAAUCCGCCUGAGAACGGCGGACGCCGAAAGAUCAAGGUUUCCUUGGCGAUGACAAUCAGCCAAGGGUUAGUCGGUCCUAAGGGGAUGGCGAACGCCGGACCCGAUGGACACACGGUUAAUAUUCCGUGACCUCAUUAUGUUCCGAUGGAGGGACGGAGGAAAUAAGCAAACGCGUAUUAUUGGAUUUAUGUUGUGUGCGGGUAGAGAUGUAUUUUAGGAAAAUCCGGAAUACUGAUUUAAUUCAAAUCUUAAACGCAUGCGGGACUUUUACCUACGGGUAAAGGAACGUUUGUGAAGUGCCUCCCAAGAAAAACUUCUAAGGUUAAACGUAAUGAGACCGUACCGCAAACCGACACAGGUGAUCGAGUCGAGAAGACUAAGGCGAACGAGUGAGAGGUCUCCAAGGAACUCGGCAAAAAAGCAGCCGUAACUUCGGGAUAAGGCUUCCCACCAUCUUCUUCGGAAGAUGGUGGGCGCAGCGAAAGUAUGCCUGGCAACUGUUUACCAAAAACACAGCUCCCUGCGAACUCGUAAGAGGAUGUAUAGGGGGUGACGCCUGACCAAUGCCAGAAGGUCAAACAUCGGCGGUGUAUGCAUCACAUUGCAUGUGAUGUGCAGAAUUUCCAAUUAUCANNNNNNNNAAUUCUUAAAUUUAAAAUUAGGACAUUGAGAUUUAUUUGAAAAUUGAGAAUUCGUAAAUUGAAAAUUUGUCUGCAUCGCGCGUAGCGUGAUGCAUAUGCUGACUGAUGUAAGCCCUGGUGAAUGUCGGCCGUAACUAUAACGGUCCUAAGGUUCAGGAUUUGUCGCAAGACGAAUUUUGAGUGGCUAGGACUGUUAUAAGAUUUUUUAGUAAACAAAGUUAAAUCAUUACGUUAUUGCUACCUUACUAUGUAGCAAUACAUAGUUAGUCAUAUGCGACUAACAAGAGACCAGCGUCGCACACCCUUUUAUUAGGGUGAAGAUAGAGUCCUUCUGUGCUGAAAGGAAUAGAAGAGCGAAAUUCCUUGUCGGGUAAGUUCCGACGCGCACGAAUGGCGUAAUGACUGGGCAACUGUCUCGGAGACUCGCUCGGUGAAAAUACAAUACCGGUGAAGAUGCCGGUUACCUGCAGUUAGACGAAAAGACCCCAGAAGCUUUACUGCAACUUGGUAUUGAGCGUAUGUUUUGUAUGCGUAGCAUAGGUGGGAGACUUUGAAGUGUUCCUUUCGGGGAACAUGGAGUCGUCAGUGAAAUACCACUCUUACUUGAUAUACGUUCUAACUCGUACGCAAAAACGUAUGGAGACAGUAUCUGGUGGGCAGUUUUAGUGGGGCGCUAUCCUCCUAAAAAGUAACGGAGGAGUCUAUUAAGGUCGGCUAGGCGCGAAUGGAAACCGUGCCGAUAGUGUAAUGGCACAAGCCGGCUUGAUUGUGAGACGUAAGUGUCAAACAAGUGCGAAAGCAGAGCAUAGUGAACCGAAGGUACGCGUUAGAUGCGGCCCGGGAUUAUCUGAUAAAAGCUACUCUGGGGAUAACAGGCUGGUACUGCCUAAGAGUCCAAAUCGACGGCAGUGUUCGGCACCUCGAUGUCGGCUCAUCACAUCCUGGGGGCGGAGAAGCUCCCAAGGGUUUGGCUGUUCGCCAAUUAAAGUGAUACGCGAGCUGGGUUCAGACCGUCGAGAAGCGAAGAUUCUCGACAAAUAGAAGUUUAUAAAGUCAAAAACUUAUAAAAAGUUUGGCUAAUCGACAGUCUGAAUCCAAACAUAACUGACACAAAAUCGGGUCUUUUCGUUUAUGAAAUAAGUAUAGAAGCAAUCGACUUACGGCGGUCGCGUGUAGCAAUAUGCGUGAUCAAGCCAACUUAUAUCGGUAAAUUCCGACUUUGCAAUGCAAAAGGAGAAUACCGAGGGAAGUUACCGGCAAAGCCGGAAUAAUCAAUUAUCGAUUUACAAUUUUCAAAUUUUUUUUGAAAAUUGUAAAAUUCCAAAAUUGAAAAUUUCCGUGAAGCGGUAAUGCCCGUAGAGACUGAAUGUUGGAUCUCCGAUAAAUCGGAGAAAGUUACAGUCCAAUGCCAUUAGUAAUAAUGGGUAUCAUGCGUAAGACAGGUUGGUCUCCUAUCUACUGCAGGCGUUGAUUCUUGAGGGGAGUUCUUCGUAGUACGAGAGGACCCGAAGGAACUGACCUCUGGUCUACCUGCUGUACCUGCCAAGGGCACCGCAGGGUAGCUAUGUCGGGAAUGGAUAACCUCUGAAAGCAUCUAAGAGGGAAGCCAACCCCAAGAUUAGGAAUCAUUAUUAGGCUCGUGAGAGAUGAUCACGUUGAUAGGCACCAGGUGUAAGUACGGUAACGUAUUGAGCCGAGGUGUACUAAUUCGCCAAUCUUAUU